CGAACGCUGGCGGCGUGCUUAACACAUGCAAGUCGAACGGGGUCCAUGAGAGCUUGCUCUCGGAAGACCUAGUGGCGAACGGGUGAGUAACACGUGAGAAACCUGCCUCGGAGUGGGGAAUAACUCGAGGAAACUCGAGCUAAUACCGCAUACCUUCAUUUGACCGCAUGGUCAGUUGAAGAAAGAUUUAUCGCUCUGAGAGGGUCUCGCGGCCUAUCAGCUUGUUGGUGGGGUAACGGCCUACCAAGGCAACGACGGGUAGCUGGAUUGAGAGAUCGACCAGCCACACUGGAACUGAGACACGGUCCAGACUCCUACGGGAGGCAGCAGUGGGGAAUCUUGCGCAAUGGGCGAAAGCCUGACGCAGCAACGCCGCGUGACUGAUUAAGCUCUGAGGAGUGUAAAAGUCUGUCGUAGAGGAAGAAACUAUCCGAUAAGAAUAUUGUCGGAUACUGACGGUACUCUAUGAGAAAGCUCCGGCUAACUCCGUG
rnacentral:rRNA from 1 species